CCACCGUUACCUCAGCGACCUGAACAACAAAAAACCCCCUACAGUUUCUGUAUCCCCCGGUUCCAGUCGGACCUAAAAAUUUCCCAAAGGAGAAAAAAAAAACCCCAACCUAAACUAAAAAACCCCAACAGUGUCAAUCUUUCAGUAAACAGGGAAGUGGAGGUGUCAGCCUUUGUCUCCAGAUGUCUAUUAAGCAAUGGAACCCAAGGCAGGAUACAGCCCUUCAGCGUUUAAAAAGUAGAUUUCUCUAAAAGUGUGCCAGUUCUAACAUCUGUUUUGCCCAACUGAGGAAUGAUACCUCAUUUGCUGAGGUAUUUAUGGACUUAGAUAUUUAUCUUUUCUGAAGUGAACAUCCAACAAUUAAUUUAUCUGUCAAGAGGUGGGGGUUGUUGGGAUUUUUUUAUUGGUUGUUUUUUUCGGUUUUUUUUUAGAGGUUUGGAGGUAAGAAGAGCUCAGGUGAAGGUAAAUUCAUAGCAAACCUGAAGCCAAGGAUUUACGUUUAAGCCUGCAUUCCACAAAGCAGUUUUAACAGACAUUGUACUGAAGGGUUUAUUACAACCCUCUGGUUCAGUGCUUCAAGAUCUGCGGUUGAGAAAGGACCAGGAAAGAUCUGCAUAACUAACUCUGUGAUUGUUUUUCAUUUUCAUGGGACUUCAGCUUGUCCAGCAUUUGAAGCUGGGCCAGUUGAUUCUGUCUGGAAAAUACGAUAUGGUCAACUGGAAUUUACUUCUGUGGCAUGGUUACUUAAUUGGUUAAAGGCAGUUGCUUAUUCAGGAAUUGUUUCCUUGUGAUCUUCUUGUUGAGCAGUCGCCGAGACAAGAAAAACCUUUAUGUGGUAUUUUAGUUUUUCCACUCUUAAUUGUGGUCUUAUUAAGUGCUCAUAGUUUUAGAAUUUAAACUGGUAUUGCUUUAUAAUUUUAUUUUUGGCUAGAGGAGAAAACACUUUCAUUAAUACAUAAAUGCAUUGGUAAGUGAGCCUGUAAUUUGUUUCUUUCUUUAUAUUUUUCUAAAACCAGUGUUUAUGUUCUUUAGGAGCAUUUCCAUGCCUGUGGCACUUCCACUUGAGUGGCAGCUUCCAUGUGGAAGAGUUGUCUGUUGUAUUGUAAAAACAGGUUCCACACAGCUCUCCGUUGCAUAAGGCUGCAGUAGCAUCUGCAUCCUCCCCUGGCUGGAAACAGAAGACAGCCUGACAAAGCCAGGUUGUCAUCUUGUGUGCAUCUGUACAAAGAGCCCAGUGGCUGGCCUUCUCUUGGAGAAGAAUCAGAACAGAUCCUGCAUCAGGAGGGGGAAAAGAAGCUAGGUUAGAGUUAGUAGGAGUUCUGAAACUAAUGAAAGAUCCUGGUCUGGUCCGUCUGGCAGAGAAAAUACAAUGCAGAGGGGUCUUCAGUGCUCUUCAGCUCGGGGAAGGGGUGGGGGUGUAAGCAUCUGAGAGGGCCUUGAAAGGCUGUGGCCUUUUUAUCUAGCAAGUAGUAGCCUUCUGCUUCUGUCUGAAGGCUUUGAUAGCAGCUGAUGACAAACAGUCCUUGGAUAGUGAUGUGGAGGUAAAACAAUACCAAAUGUUACGUCUGGUAAAUUUAAUCUUCAGCUUUUCUCCCUCUUUGCCUUUGUAUCUUCCGCUGAAGUGCUGUGUGCCUUUCCAGUUACCUGGGAAUAAUGGCUGUUGAUGUUAAUUAAUAAAAAAGAAAUACUACAGCAAUUGCUCACAUGGAAAAUGAUUUUAUAAAGCAUUUGAAUACUUUUGACAGCUGUAAAUUCUGGUCUGCCCUGUUCUCGUUCAGCCAUGCUUCCCUGUUAGGAGUCAGUUUUCAAUUUCUUGCUGUGUCCUUGUGCUCCCUAUGACUCUUCUGAUAAGCAUGCUGCCUCAUGGCUCGCUUGCGUAUUUCUCUUGUGUACUCCAGGGAUGCAUGACGUCCUUAACUACGGCUCCUGUUGCCCCCUUGCUAUGUAUCAAUGACCUUCAAGAAAAGCUUAUUUACCAGCACAUUCCCUGGGCUGGCAACCUCAGGCUAGCAUUUGGAGCGGAGGGCCAGAGUGACCUGUUAGCUCUCUGGCACAGCGCCUGUCUGUCAGACUCAAACAGGAGACCCCUUGGGAAUGAGUACCUUGUCCUAAUGAACGGGUUGGAAUUGGCUGUGUAGCACAAACACGUUUUGGACAGCUAGUCUGCCAAGUCACUGUGUCCUAGUGCAACAGGGCUGCUUGAAAAUGACCAGCAUGAGUGACCUGUAUCAAAAAACCUAGCACAGCAGCAGUUUAUUAUUGCAAACAGAUUUAAGCCAUUUCUUAAGUAAAUGGCUUAUGAAAAUAAGCACCUUAUUCCCAUUUUGUUUGCAUUUCCAUUUAUUUUACAAGGCAUCGUUCACACAAUGAUAACAAGGUACCAAUCCAAACAAUUCUGUAACAGUUAAAAAAGUAAACAUUUGUUGUGACCAUGUACAUUGAAUUGCACUUUUAAUAACAAGCAUUACACUUAUAUUUCCAUAUUAUACUUUAUAUAAUACGUGGAUUUGUUGCACAAGUACUGGCAGUAUGGAGUUAUUCUCAAUUAAAAGUCUGAUGUCGCUGUGAUGCUCUUCCUUCCUAACUCUUUAGGAUUUGCAAACUUGGGACACACACAAAUGACAAAUGCAGCUCCAAAUCUAGAAAACUUCAUUGUAAUGGAGCCAGAGCUUUGAAGCUGCUCUCUGGUUUCAAUGUGCUAAAGUGAAUCCAUCUUGAAUGGCAGACACUGAGGGAUUUGGACCAUGCCUGAUUAGACUCUUUUCUGCAUUCACAUGUCAACUUUUCCCAGUUCAGAGAAGCCAGAAAAUCUUCCAUGGGAAACCAACAGUUCCCAAAGCUCAAGAGAGCUCCUGGCACAGGUAAAAAUAGCAUGAAAUACAUUCAGUAGCAAAGCAGUUGGAAUCCAGGAGAAAUGGAGAGCCCUGUAUUCCUGGAGGAUUAACCUAUAUGUGUUAAGUCAUGAUCCUGAAAAUAAAUUAUGUAGACUUCUGACUUGGGAAAGGUGGGAUCUUGAUUAAUGCUGAGCAUUAUUCAUCCUGCUGCAAAUUCUUUGAAUAAUUUCCCAAACCCCAUCUAUGGAUCAGCCCUGUUUUAAAGGCUGGUGAUGUACACCCCACCUAACUUGAAAGGUCCAAACUUGAGUGCUUCAUUGUGUCUCCCCUCAGUAUUAUUACUCAAAAAGAGGUAAUAGGACAGCUUCUAGUAGGAUAUUAGCAUAAUAGACAGGAAAAUAAUAUAGUUCAAGCCUUUGUGUUUGCAAGAACAAUGUGACAUCCGGCGCUGUGUUAACUUACAGCAAUGCCUUGGGUGUACACAGCAUUACCUGUCUAGUGCAGCCAGCUGUUUGCACAACAGCCCAUUCUGCAGGGUUCAGCUGUAAGAGGUGUGCUUGUCACUCAGAACAGUCCCCAGUCUUGAGGGAAACAUCUCUGCCCUGAUCUUCACAUUUAUACAGUAACAUGUACUAAGGUUUUUUCGCUAGCAGUUGGAAGAAACCCAGCAUUGUAAGAUCAGAAGGGUGUCUCUUUUCAGUGCCAAAGGUAUUUAGGCUUAUCAGAUCAUGCAGAAGUAUGCCAAUUAUCCCUGAGUCUAACAGUAAAUCAAACUAAGAGGUAUAGUUUUCCCACACAUAUAAGUAGUUACAUGGAUUUCACUGCAACUACUUAACAGAAGACAGGGAACAGCCCUACCUUUAUCCUGUGGAAAAAGCAUGACUUACGUAGCUUCCAAGUUUUGAUACUUCAGUGACAGUAAAUUCAAAUUUUUAUGUACUCAUACAUUGCUAUAUUCAGUAGGUCAGUGGCAUUGUGACUCUAAAGUCAAUGGGAUACUUCAUGCUCUGUCAAGGGGCUGAAUUCUUGUUCUUGACUUUUCUAUCUCCUCCUCUUGUAAAUGGGUGUCUUUAUUUUGAGUUGUUUUUAACAUCAUGGCACAGAUAAAAGCAUAAAGAAAUUUCAAGGGCCAACUAAGAGAAGUCCUUUAAAAUGUCCAACAA